rnacentral:rRNA from 1 species
CCCAGGAGCCACAAGUGGCAGCCACCUUUAUUGGGCCUAAAGCGUCCGUAGCCGGUUCUGUAAAUUUUCUGUGAAAUCGUUGCGCUUAACGUAACGGCGUGCAGGAAACACUGCAGGGCUUGGGACCGGGAGGAGUCAGAGGUAUUCUGAGGGGAGCGGUAAAAUGCUAUAAUCCCCGGAGGACCACCUGUGGCGAAGGCGUCUGACUAGAACGGAUUCGACGGUGAGGGACGAAAGCUAGGGGAGCAAUCCGGAUUAGAUA